GGGAUGACGUCAAGUCCUCAUGGCCUUUAUGUCCAGGGCUACACACGUGCUACAAUGGCCGGUACAAACCGCUGCAAACCCGCGAGGGUGAGCCAAUCGGAGAAAGCCGGCCUCAGUUCGGAUUGCAGUCUGCAACUCGACUGCAUGAAGCUGGAAUCGCUAGUAAUCGCGGAUCAGCAUGCCGCGGUGAAUACGUUCCCGGGCCUUGUACACACCGCCCGUCACAUCACGAAAGUGGGUUGUACUAGAAGCAGGUGAGCUAACCGCAAGGAAGCAGCCUUCCAAGGUGUGAUUCAUGAUUGGGGUGAAGUCGUAACAAGGUAGCCGUAA
rnacentral:rRNA from 1 species